rnacentral:rRNA from 1 species
GGGCCCGCACAAGCGGUGGAGUAUGUGGUUUAAUUCGAUGCAACGCGAAGAACCUUACCAGGGUUUGACAUCCUGCGAAUCUCUUGGAAACAGGAGAGUGCCUUCGGGACACGAAGCAAGGUGCUGCAUGGUUGUCGUCAGCUCGUGCCGUGAGGUGUUGGGUUAAGUCCCGCAACGAGCGCAACCCCUAUCUUUAGUUGCCAGCGAUUCGGUCGGGGACUCUAGCGAGACUGCCGGUGCAAACCGUGAGGAAGGUGGGGAUGACGUCAAAUCAUCACGGCCCUUACGUCCUGGGCUACACACGUGCUACAAUGGCCGGUACAGAGAGCAGCCACUACGCGAGUAGGAG